GUUAAGUGUUCAUGACAAGACCGUUAUAGCUCUUACAAAACAUUAAAAUGGUAAAAGCCAGUCUAUUAGAAACAAAUCAUUCUGAAGAAUAUACGACAAAAUCAGAAGAUCGCACCAAAUACCAGAUGCUUACUACUUGAAGAAACGUUCCUAUUUACUGUAAUGGAUUGAUUUCAAUGGAAAAUAUGUUUUCGCUGAACAAUUAACUAAUCUAAAUUAACCUGAAGGAGUUUAACCACCUUAAAUAGCCAGCAACAAAUUUAUUACGUAAAAUUAUAUAUUACUUUGCUUAAUUCAAAUACAAUAUGUGAAGAAAAGAAAACCUUGAUAAAAAUUCAUGAAUUGACAACUCACGACGAUAAAAGAGUUAAUUAUACUUAUUUCAAUAUGAAAAAUAAUAUUGAUAAUGUAAAUAGAUAGUCUGUGAAACAGAUCUGUGAUUUCACCUUACAGUAAUAUCUAAUGAAAUGAACAGUAUCGUUAAAUUGUUUAAUCCACCUACCGUAUUGAGCUGUGAUAAGGCGUUCGCUGUGUAUUUAAGUCCAUACGAUUAAUUCUCUAGUUAGCGAGGUGUAAGAAAAACAAAAGGACAUACACGAAGUUUGGCUCAACAUUUUAUAUCAAACUUACAAAAAAUAUUAUGAGUAAAUUAUUGCAACAUGUUGGAUAAACAUUUAUAAGAGAUUGUACUUAUAAUUAUACGUUACCGAAAAUUUAAAAAUUCUACAGGAACUUUAAAGAUUUGUUUAUCAUCAUUACAAAUACGAAGGCCAAGCUUUACUCCUAAGAUCACAGGAGUUUAUUAUUAUACGUACCAUAUAAAGAAGGCAGAAAACAACUAACAGUGAAUUUGACAUGUGUACAGUGAAUUUAAAUAAAGUAUUAUUAGUUUCAACAUUAUCGUGCAUCAUACUGCUUUGUAAUGGACGAGGUUAUAGUAAUAGUAUGACAGGUUAUCCAUUAAGAAUAUUUAAAAAAGGAAAAGGAUUAGUG